GUGAAAAAUUCAAAAUAGCAAAACUCAAAAGGGUCUAUCUAGAUUUACAUAAUAUAUCAAUCGACUAAGCAUUUUCUCAAUGUAAUUUUGGAGCGUUUUUCUGGGUUUUAUCAACAAUAAAUAGUUUUUUUUCUGGAUUUUACCUACUCAAUAAAAAAUAUUUACUGAAAUGAUUCUCCAUUCUAAGUUUAACAGGUCUCUCUCCGUCACUUACUCCGUGCUUACUCCACACAAUCGCAGUUCCAAUUUCAUUUGAAUAUUAAGCAACCAAAGUCCAUGAAAUUUUGCAGA